rnacentral:rRNA from 1 species
GACAGAGGAUGCAAGCGUUAUCCGGAAUGAUUGGGCGGUAAAGCGUCUGUGAGGUGGCUUUUUAAGUCCGCCGUCAAAUCCCAGGGCGUUCAACCCCUCGGACAGGCGGUGGAAACUACCAAGCUGGAGUACGGGUAGGGGCAGAGGGAAUUUCCGGUGGAGCGGUGAAAUGCGUAGAGAUCGGAAAGAACACCAACGGCGAAAGCACUCUCGCUGGGCCGACACUGACACUGAGAGACGAAAGCUAGGGGAGCGAAUGGG